rnacentral:lncRNA from 1 species
ACGGUGUUUGUUGGUUCCUUUAGGAUUUUGACUGUUUGGUUUUGAAACAAUCUUUAUAUUAUGUUUUUAAGUAUCUCUAUGUUAUCUUGGUAAUGCAGAAACAUUGGGAGGCAUCUUUGAGGUGAGGGAAACUGUCUUGAAGAGCUAAGGCCCCAGAAAAAUCACAAGUCACCAAAGUCACCCCAAGCCAGUAGCUUUCUGGUCCUGUUUUGUGGAUUUGAAAAGCCAAGGGGAAGAGCCAUUUUGAAUGUGGGGGUCAGAGGAUGCUGAAGAGCAGUUUUGUCCAAAAAGAACAUCAUCUCCAUCGGAGAAAGGGCGGCGCUGAGCCUCAGGAGAGACUCCAGUGAAAACUCUCAGUCUACAUACUUGGGCCACUAGGCAAGAAUCCAAUGUGGAGCCACAAGAAGGAACCCAGGCCCUGCACCAGUCAAGUGUGUACUCAUGCUUUAGUUAGGGUGUCCUAGGAAACAUACAACCUCGUGCUUCUUCAGGACUCUGGUGCUUCUGCAGCCCCACGAGAAGAAAAGUUCCCUGUGGGAGAUGAACGCAAGCCUACCGCACUCUUCCAGGUCCCUGACUGACAUGAUCAGAAUAGUCACCCC